AUUGAACGCUGGCGGCAGGCCUAACACAUGCCAGUCGAGCGGAUGAAGGGUGCUUGCUCCUGGAUUCAGCGGCGGACGGGUGUGUAAUGCCUAGGAAUCUGCCUGGUAGUGGGGGAUAACGUCCGGAGACGGGCGCUGCUACCGCAUACGUGCUGCGGGAGCAACUGGGGGAUCUUCGGACCUCACGCUCUCAGGUGAGCCUAGGUGGGGUUAGCCAGUUGGUGGGGGAAAGGCCUACCAAGGCGAUGAUCGGUAACUGGUCGGGGAGGAUGAUCGGUCACACUGGAGCUGAGACACGGCCCAGAGUCUGACGGGAGGCAGCGGUGGGGAAUAUAGGACAAUGGGCGAAAGCCUGCACCAGCCAUGCCGGGUGGGUGAAGAAGGUCUGCGGGUGGUAAAGCACUUUAAGGUGGGAGGAAGGGCAGUAAGUUAAUACCUUGCUGUUUGGACGUUACCAACAGAAUAAGCACCGGCUACCUUCGU
rnacentral:rRNA from 1 species